CAAAAGGCAUUCGAAUUCAAACCGACAGUCAAACCAAACAGGAUUUCACUUCAGCAAACCCAGAAAGUUUCACUUUUUGUUUUCCUAUUUGUGGAAAUCUUAAACUCUGCCGGGGCAGGAAAACGCUGUCGUGCGUGUGCCUCAGCGCUGAAACCCGUGCUGGCCAUCGCGCAAGGCGCAGCGCGUUGCACGUGGUCGGCGCGGUGAGGCCGGAUGACGCGGAUGGAGCCUUGCUCGGGCGUGUGCCCUCCUGUCGACGCUGCCACUGGAAAUGCUUCAAAGCUUCGGAAUUCAUUGAUGUGAGAGUUAAAGAACAGUUGUGUACAAACACGAAGCUGAUAUUGCCGUGCACACGACGAAAGCCAGCUGCGGCCAGCAGCGUGUAAAAGGUCUUUAAUGAUGCAAACAACUUUUUACAAAGUACAAAAGAAGAUAAUGAAGCGGCUAGGUCAAAAAGCACGGCAGGCGUACGUUUGUAAGAGGUCCCUUCGUGGGCUCUGGUGGAAGCAACAAACACAAACGUGUAGACAACUUGAGGGCCGGCUCUUUCUCAGACACGGUAUAAAACCAAAACCAAACUAAAAAUGGGAAUAAAGGGGUUAUUGGUACUGGGGGUGGUGCUUGCUCUUGCUUAGGCUGUACUUCGGCCAGGGUGCCCCGCUAACAGCCCUGGCGAUUUUCAGUUCAGACGCGGUGAGAAGCCCAGGCGAUGGGAGCUGCGGGCUUCAAAGGGAACUUGGAGGUUAGCGAUCAGCUUGGACAGGGCUGGUCCUCGAUGUCAUUUACAGCGAAACCCGGCGUCCUGCCCCAGCCGGGGGCAGUUCUCCUCCAGUGGCACCUCAGCACGAAGCUUUGCUUUGCAGAGUUACUGCUCACAAGGCCGCGGCUGAGGGGGGUGACGAGAACUGAUGCCUCCUUUACAACCGUACGGCGUUUCAUCAGCGCAGCCCGAUGAUUUAAGAGUCCGAAGAGGAGAAGCAGCCGGGAGCUCGGGGUGACCUUGCUCAGCAGCGAUGCCUGUGGAAGCCGCUUUGUUCCAGGGUUCCUUCACGAGCGGCAGGUGUGAGCACCCUGUGCACGAGGGAGGCUGAGCCGCCACGCAACGCAGGGACGAGCCCGUCGCGCUCCCCCAGCCCAGCAGCCGGUACCCUGAAGGCAUUUCUCUGGGGUUCAGCCCUGCUCACGUCAUCUCGGCAUCCCUGAGUGGUCACUAGCAGACUGCUGUUGAAAUUAAUCCUCUGCAAGUCUCGGGACGGUGGGGGGGAAAAAAUACAUCCCUUACCAGAGCCUUCACUGCCUCCGUGUAAAUGAGAGUGUCCGAGUGAUUUGUGCUGCCAGUGGGAGAGUACCCUGGAGGUACCUGCGUUCUUCACUUCGCUUCUGUGCUUCACCGUCGUGCCUGACCUUGUCACGGGCAGUUUGGUGACUUCAGGCAGUUGCUCAGCAGUCAUUUCCAAAGUCGACGCAAUUAGCAUUAGUUAAUUAUUAUCUUUAGCAAUGGCUUUCAUCUGCAAAACGUUAUUUCUCGCGGCCUGAUCUCUAAACGGUGGGUGUCUGUCCCGUACCCGUCACGUUUGUUGCGUGCGCAGUCACGCGGCGUGCACUGAAACUGCAGAGUCUCCGUUCUGCAAUUUUGCACACAGAAAUGGCUUUGUCCUCCUCCUUCAUGAGCUGAGCCAGGCCACCCGCUCCCCGAAAGCUGCACGGGGUGGGGGGGCGAGAGAAAAAACAGCCACGGGAACGCAGUGGCCCCUUCUCCCGCUCCCAGCAGUCCUGGCAUUGCUUGUUCGUGGUAAAGCUAGGAAAUGGUAAAGUCCUUCAUGGCAAAGAGGUGUGGUGGCGUAUAAAUGCCUGUAGGCUUUGGACAAAACUUCGGCUCCUAAAUCGCUUGAAGACGGGACCUCAGCCUGGCUGUGAAAGGCACUGGGGUACCUAACGCCCAGUUAAACCGACGCAAACCUGAGGAUCCGAAGUCACGCAGGUAUUUUAGAAAGCUGCCCCGCUUCACUAAAUGCAUGUACGUGAACCUGCGCAAGCCCUCAAGUAGAUUCACGUGGUUUAAGAUCAUUUUGCUACUGAUUUCCUCCCUUGAUUCCUUAUCAGCAGAGGGCACGAGCCACUCGGCUGCCCAGGACCGGCCCUGCCUCAGCUGGAUCGACUCCGGUUUGGCAGCCGGGCGCAGCCUCUGCCCCGCUCACGUGGACGUGUGCCGCAGCGGAGAAACCCUUUAGCAACGGGAUUUGUAAGACCACAAAAAUGCACAGGAGACAGGAGAACUUAAUUAUUCUUUACAUGAUUGGUUUUCACUCGGCUAGCACGGCUCUCAGAGGGGAACAGCAGGAUCAGGCUAAUAAUUCUGCCGUGGUCAAUCCCUUAUGAUAUUUACCCAGCGGCUGUGCAAUAGUUGGUGGGUAAAUACCAUUUCUUUGGUCAAUGCUCGCCUACGGCACUUCGGAGCCGUUCCGCGCUGCUGUUUGAGGAAGGAUGUGCAGGUCGGCAUCCCCGCCACGCUGCUGCCCCCGUACCCUCGGCUCCCCCCGCGCGAGUGCGCUUGGGCUAAUUGUCUCCCUCCAAGCCGGAGCACUUUCUUGGCUAAGUGAACAAUUUUUACCUCGGGGGAAAAAGGCUCAAAUUGCAGUUGUUUAUGGUUGUAUCCUACCAAAUUAAAAGAAAAAAGUAGGCUGAACGCCAGGCAUAGCUGAAGAGGCACAGUCUAUCGAGCAGGCAGAGCCCUCGCAGGUUGUAGACCGUUCACACGGGUGUGAAUUUUGCCUUCCAACUAGCUGACAAGUUCAGACCAUUUGCCUUGCUCACCAAUUGUUCGCGCUCCUGCAGAUGCAGUUUGCUUUCACAAGUACUCGGCAAAGGGCACACGUACGACUUGUUUCUAACAUCAAGGCGAAGGGACUCGCUCCUUGUGCUCUGCCGUCACUCCUCACGCUCCGUUGCCAUCAGCUCACGCCCUUGUGUCCCCCCCAGACCCUCACCCUCACCUGGGCGUCAGGGGAGCAACAUUUUGUCUGGGUGAGCAAGAGUUGUGCGCACAAACCCUGCGGCCGCGGAAAGGUUGGAGCCCCCGCCGCGCCACGGCACGGCACAGACGAGCUGAGCACAGCGAUGGGACGUGUCUUGGCUAAAACGGUCGCUGUUUUCCUCAAAUGUUUGGUACUAAUAUGUUAAUCAGAUCUCACACACAGCCUCUCAUUGUAUCGCUCGCUCCGUGUUUGCACAGCAAUUAAUUCUGACUGCAGCGGCUCCCUCAGCCUCCGGGAUUGCUCUGUAUGCGCCUGCGCUUGCGACGUGAUUUUGGAGGCUGCCCAAAUGAAGCAGCGAUGUUUGCGGUGUGAUUUCAAAUUCAGACUUGACGACAAAUUGAUUAUUGUGGAACGGAAGGAGCGUGGCGAGCACAGCCACACACAGCCCUGCGGCCCUCGUGCAGCCCCGUCCGAGGGUGAGGGGCUCCGGGAGGCUCUGAGUAGCCGCACCGAGCGCUGGCCAGCCGGGCCCUUUCUGGCCCUCUUCUUGCCAGAAGAACUAAAGGUGCAAUUUGGUAAAGCCAACCUGAAACCCCUUCCCCCGAGGGGGUGUCUGCUGCGAGCACGGCACGCCUGUAAUUCCCAUCAGGCUUCAUCUGCUGCAUCCCGGGUGACCAGUGCUCUGCAACGUGCAGCCAGUGGAAUCCCAAUACAUUCUUCACCCGUAUAGGUUGCCAUCGCAUAACGCAAACAUAAAUCAGCCUGUGCUCUCGUCCAGCAUUCGGAGGGCAGCGUGGCCGCAUCCGGCCUGCUCCACCGUGAGCGUGUCAGUGUCGGUGUCGGGCGGGGGGGGCACACGUCGCUCACGCCUUGCUUCCCCCUUUACCGGCUGGCCGAGGCUGUCGGCAUUUCCAGCACGAAACUUCGCUGAGUUCCCCCUCCGAGCAGCGCACGGUCGGAGCUCGGGUUUGCGGGGUCCCUGCAGAGCCUCCCGGGCGGCAUUUCAGGGGCGGCCGUGGGGAGCAGCAGGCACCUGGCCGUGCUUUUGGCCGUGUGGUUUGUUAGGCGAAGUGCUGGAGGCGAUUAAAAGCGUUCCCGAGAAACCCCUGCUUUCUCUGGCAGCGGCAGCAGGGCAGAGUGCAGGCAGCGGACUCGUCCUCCCGGCCCCGACCCUGCCGUCAGGCCAAGGUCCCAGCACGUCCCCUGAAAGCAGCUUUUGACCCCCCCGUCCCCGUGCCACCGUACCCCUUCCCGUGCAGUUUGCUCCACUGCGUGAAAGAGAUUUAAAACCUGACUGCUACGGCGGUUCCACCGUGCAGCAGGCUUUGGGGGGACCUCCCUGGAAAGGGGGCAGCAGCUGCUGGGUGCGGGUCGGUGGUGACCGGGAGCACGACCCCCUGCUCUGUGGAGGGCGGCUGAAAAUGCCCCUUCCCGGGACCCCGAAGAAAAGUCCCAGGGAGCACCCGGUGUGUUCGGGGCACGGCAGGAAUGUCAGGCAGGAGCUGCCAGCCCCGUUGCCCAUUUCUCUUUGGGGAGAGCCUGUGCCUACCCCCCCCCGAGGCAUUAAACCUACACAAAGAACAAUAUUCUUCUUAAAUCUGGUAUUUUUAUCUGGCUUUCUGUACUUUUUAUUUAACUGCAAGGAGACUUUGCAUGCGGGGAAAAUGAUUUCGCUCUGAGUAAACUCAUUUUCAUCAGCAAAUGAAAUUCUGCCCUUAAGUCCUGGGAGCAGCGCGGGCCUGUUGGGGUUUAUCGGGCAGUAACGGCUUCUGAUGCUACUGCGAGGUGACCCGCGAAGCUCCGCUGGUCCCCUUGGGAAGCCCGUGGCCCUGCUGUGACCGGCAGCUUUGAGACAUCGUUUGGGAGUGGAUAUUUAUAUUAUUUGUAAAAAAAAGGAUUAGUUACCUACUAGUGUUUCUGAACUUUUCCUUCUGGGCUAAGACACACGGGGACGCCCGCGCGGCCCCGGGGAGCAGGUGGGUGCGGUGGGAUCUGGGGGUUCCAUUAGCUGAACAGAGCGAUGAUCGGGGGGACGUGCGGGGCAGCAAGACGUGCGAAUCGCCUCUUGGGAGAUAACGGACCUUGCCACGCUCAGGAAAACCACUCUGGGAAUGGCAGCUGCGCAGGGCCACGAGGUACGGGGAUGCCUUGGAGGCUCUUCUGUCUCCUGCAGACCUGGGACAGCUUUUAAAUCAGCGUGGCUCAAAGCAACCUAAAUCCAUCGCCUCCUGCUUCAACCCACUUUAAAUAUCUAUUUACCUGCGAGAUGCCCACCAGCACAACUAAGUCCACGUUCAUGAGCUUCACGUGGAGGUUUUCUCACGUACAGCAGCCUGCCCGAGCUUGGGCUGCAGCAUGUAAACCCAAUAGUUUUUUAAAUCAUCGACUCUCCGUGGCUGCGGCUGCAAUUGGCCUUUCAGGGAUAAUUCAAGCUGGUCCACCUAAGCUGUUGCAGAGCUGCGCGCGGAUGCUUUCACACCGAUUGUAACCUGGUUGAUCGCGCGUUAUCUCACACGCCUGGCGGUGCCUGCCCUCCCUCACGGCUGCCCACCCGUCUCUGCUCCCAGCAGCCUGAAGUCGGGCGCUCGUCUGAGCGUUUGACCCCCCAACUGCAGGGCUGCUCUGCCCGCAGCGCUCAGCCGCCCCGGCCCCGGAGCGAGACACCCGCCUCCUCCUUUGCUUCUGAGCCGUUUCGGUGCCUUCAGCAGCGCCACGAGCCCGGCUCCAGCAGAGCCUGUGCGUGCGUGUGUGCAUAUGCGUGCGUGUAUGCGUGCGUGAGCGUGUGCACACAGGGGUUGCUCGUGUCCGCUUUGCAAUACUUCCACCUACAGAAUAAAACCCAGUAUGGCAGUGGGGAGCAGCCUGCAGCGGCCCUGGAGCCGAUGGGUGCAGAGCACCCUGGGGGGCCCAGGCGGGCGGAGGAUGCUUUGGGGGGCUGGGGCACACCAGAGGACAUCUGCAGAGGUGUUUGUGAGCCCCGUGUCCUCUCCUACAAAACUGCAAAGAGGGAUUCUAUUUCCUGGGACAAAAAUGGUAAUUUUGGCAAUUUUUUUCCUUCCACUGGAAUAUAAAGACCUAUUUUUUCAGGCCAGCUUUUCUAAUUUUAACACCUUUUUUCUUUUUUUUUUUUUUUUUCCCAAAAUGCCCCGCUGGGCUGUGGCCAGGCAGGAGAUGGGAAUGGAAAGCUGUUUCCUUUACAGAAGUGUUUUUUCCUAAGUGGGGUGUAAGUGCCCGUGCUCUGCAGCAACAACACCCGAGCGCUGUGCGGACACACGGCCCCACCGCAGAGAGGAGCACGGGGUGGCUGUAGCAGGCUCGGUUCCUGCCCCAAAAAGCCUACAAGCACAUGGCUUGUGCUUCGGAGGAGGGGAGCAGCCAGCAGCAGAGACAGGAGAGCGGUGAACUUGGCGGCUUGUGGAUGGGGCUGAUGAGAAAUGGUGGAUUUCAUGAACAUUUCCUGGCAGGAGCAAUGACCAGGGAAGGAUUUCCCGGAAAAGGGACCUCUAUCGCUGUCAUUAACAGCAGCACACAACGCACGCCCUGCUGCGCCCGCUGCCACUAACCUGUGGUUUUGGGGGCGGCUAAAGCCCUAAUGAGUAAUUGUUGGAUCAGUUUCCGUCAGGAAUAUUCUUUGAUUUUUCACUAUUUUUUUUCUCCCCAAACCACCCAAAGCUUUUGGUCCAUGUACAUCCUUCCAACGCCGGUACAAAGCUGACAGUAAAGGACAGUCACAAGUUUGAAUUUCCUCACUUGAAAUAUUUGCAUAAGUUUGUUGAAAAAUUAGUCAAAACAUUUUAACAAAAUCUUUUUUCUGAGGACAAGACCAACCUAGCCAAACCCCCGCCCCCCGAGGAGACCUGGAACACUUCCCCCCAGUUCCUGUGGGUCUCUCUAGGGCUCUUAGGUCUUCAAAGUUCAGUGGCAGCACCUUAUUUCCAUCACAGCGUUUCUAACAGCAUCAGGCGAUGCAGGAAUACUCCGCAUUUCCCAGGAAAGCGCAGCACACGGCAGCAGGGGCAGGCGCCGCGGGUGCCACGCUUGGUCCCAGGCGCUGGUAGGUGUCAC